rnacentral:rRNA from 1 species
UACGUAGGGGGCAAGCGUUGUCCGGAUUUAUUGGGCGUAAAGAGCGUGUAGGCGGCCUGAAAGGUCAGCUGUGAAAAACUCGAGGCUCAACCUCGAGACGUCGGUUGAAACCAUCUGGCUAGAGUCCGGAAGAGGAGUGUGGAAUUCCCGGUGUAGCGGUGAAAUGCGCAGAUAUCGGGAAGAACACCCGUGGCGAAGGCGGCACUCUGGGACGGUACUGACGCUGAGACGCGAAAAGCGUGGGGGAGCGAACAGGA